CGGCGGAGGAGGCGGGCAGUCUUGUAGGCGUGGACCGACCGACGCGUAAAAUCCAGAUGCGAAGCCCCGGUGCGCUCCCAACUGGAAAGGAGGGUCCAUUGCAGAGAGGGCAAGCAGGGAUGUGAGGACAAGCCAGCAGCCCCGAGCUGAAAUGAUGAGGAGAGAGGAGAACCGGGAGAAAGCAGUGCAACCGGAGACAACGAGACAGACACUGAUGGAUGGGGCCAGAGUCAGGGAGCGGCAGCAGGGACUCUGAGGCAGAGCCCCCCUGCCUCAUUCCUGUGGGAAUACUUGGCUCAUAUUAACUCGCUCAUUGUUGGGACACACAGCAGGCACAAUGACUCCCUUUUUGUCGACGAGGGCAUAGUGGACUGAGAGGGCAGCCGGGCGGCCAGUCGGCCAUCACUGGGUCCUAUGUGCUGUGGCUCUGAAGCUGGGUCGGCCAGCAGGCUGACAGGAAAGAAUAAAGAGAGUGAGACAGUGAGCCCCGGAUCCCAUAUCCUGGCCAGAGCUUCAAAUGGGAGGACAUGGAAGGUCUAGAUAGUGACUCUACUGACAGAGAGGGAGGAAAUAGAGAGAAGGAGGAGGAGGAGGAGGGCCGGGAUCUGGGCCACAUCUCUGUCUGAUUGUCCCUGAGGGGCUGCCAGUAGCUGAACCAGACCUCUGUUCACUCACCAUCCCUGCUGAUCUGAAGUCAGCGCUGUUCUGUCUUCUUCUUUUCCCCCUCUGAGUUAUAAUCUCACCCAGUUUAGUUCGAUGUCUUCUCUUCACUUUCUCCCACACACUGUCUCUCUCUGUGCAACCAACCCAUGACUGUGGAGUGCAGGGAGCAGGUGCUUCUACUGAAAGGCUCCAGUCACUGUUUUUGUCCUAAAGUCAAGGAUUCAAUGUAACCACCCAGAGAGGAAAAGUAUAAAUACUGAAAUUUGAUAUGUAUAAGGUUCAUGUGACAGUGGUAAAGAGUGAACUUGUACAAAUAGUUUGUCUGCUCUCACCCUCAAUCUCAGUUUAAUGUGUACAUAUGAGCUUGUCAAACAACUAGUUUCAUGGUCCAAUAUACAAUAUAUAAUUACAUAAGUGCCACGUGGAAACUUCCAGAGCAUAAACACUGAGAAUGGACUUUUCAGUGAAGUAGUAAACACCUUGUGUCUUGCAGUUAAACAUUUGAAACAAACACUGUUCGCAUAUUUUCCAAUUUCUUCGGUGAGGGAGAAGGAGUAAAGGUUAUUUUAGGAUUUUUUAAAGAGGUAAUGAAACCUAUUUAUGGAAAACCCCAUAUCAGACAUGAAUUCUGAAGUCUGGAUGAGAUUUAAAACUAAACUUUAUACGUAAAGUUCUAUCUUUAAGAUCUUUUAAACUUGCUACAAGGAGUUUUUAACUGGUUAUAAAAUAGUCUAAAUGUAAUACUGAUGGCUCUAUAUGACCUACAUAAAGACCAGAGAAGAUUGGCUGUUUCUAUAUAGUUAUUCUUAAUGCCUGCCGAAUCAUUCAGGGCCGGAUUCUGCGAAAAAUCAAUGAAACGAAGCAGUGGAAACGUUACCACUUUUACACCUUUAUCAACAAAAAAUUAAAGUUCCCUGUUGCUGCUUUAACUAACGAAGAGAAAAAGAAUGGCCCUAUAAAAAAAAUAAGAAAAUAUAAGUAUAAUUUUGAGGGAUACUUUUUUAUUUGUUCUACUUUCGACUUUAUAUACUUUAUAUAUUACAGUGAAGUUAAAGAUUAUACAAACAAAUCUAAUCUUGUAAAAUAUGUUUCCUUGUAAGAUUCACACUACUUUACACAUUUACAACAUAUAAGUGCUACUGAAUGAAUCUGUGAUGACAAUCCAAUAACAUGAUAUAGCACUCUUACAGGGGCCAUUCUGGCACUUAAGUAUACUUUUAAAUUUGAUGUUUGAUGAUUUCUGAACAUUCAGCCAAUCCAGUGCUUGUUGUAAAGUCUUCAUGUUUAUUCUAGGAAACAUGUUUACAAAAGCACCCACAUCGAAAAUCAAUAAAUACCAGGGGCUGGACCGAAGUACAUGUGAAGAACAGAGAAAUAAAAAGUAAAAAAGUAGAUAAACUAGAUAAUAUUUUCCUCCUCUCAAAUGCCAAUAAAUAUAAGUAUAAGCAUAAUAAUUUACCUGAUGGUUCUGUUUUGAUCUACUUCAGUGGCUUGGGACAUGGUGGACAUUUGAAUUGUACUUAUAGGGUUCAUUGUAUCAUUGUAUAUAAUUAUUGUAUUUACUGCAUUUAUUAUCUUUGGUUCACUAUUUGUUACCUUGGUGACCUCUCUGGGCACAUAUAACUUAAUGCCUGAAAAAGGGCUCAUGCCUGAAACGUCACAUGUUGGUAUACCAAUAAAUGUUCAUGGGAGCAGUCUCUACUUUGCAAACUCUA